rnacentral:rRNA from 1 species
UACGUAGGCAGCAAGCGUUGUUCGGAAUUACUGGGCGUAAAGAGUGUGUAGGCGGUGCUCUAAGUUCGGUGUGAAGUCUCCCGGCUCAACUGGGAGGGUGCGCCGGAAACUGGAGUGCUGGAGCGCGGGAGAGGAAAGCGGAAUUCCUGGUGUAGCGGUGAAAUGCGUAGAUAUCAGGAGGAACACCGGCGGUGUAGACGGCUUUCUGGACCGUAGCUGACGCUGAGACACGAAAGCGUGGGUAGCAAACAGG